GUAAAUCCUUAAAAGUUUUGCGCAGCAGUCUGUGUCUGUAGCUUCAUGCAGCGUCUUUUAAACAGCCAUGGAAGCUUUAUUCCUAGUUAGUUAAACUUGCUGCAAAUCGACAUGGAGUUUUUAUUUUCCGUUACGGCCGAUAGUGUCAAAGCUGUCAGGGACGCGAUCUGUCACAAACUGUGGCCUGAAUCUGGACUGGAAACGAACCCACUUCAAGUCCAGGCAGACGAAACCGGGUCAACAAUGGACAACAACGUCUUGUGGCCCAGAGCAGAGCGUGAGAGCCACAUCGCCUUUCAGGAGCCAUGCAGAUAAGGCAGACUGCUUCGCCACUGCUGCCGGUAAUUGUACUUUUAGAAAUCCAGACAGAGCCCAUGCAAAACCGCUGCAAGGCCUGGCUUCGUCACAGAGAUAAGAAGAGAGUCACAGCACGCCAGUGAGAGGCACUCACCGUUACGCGGUCUUGAGUGAAGGCAGCCCUUCUGUUGUCAGCUGAACAACCACUCCAUGAUAUCCGUCCUGGAAACUUCGUGGUUGUAAAGAAUCUGAGAAAGAAACGCUGGAAUGAUCAUCACUGGAUAGGCCCCUUCCAAGUGCAAUUGACGAUGCAUACCGCCAUCAAGGUCGCAGAAAUUUUGACGUGGAUACAUGCAACUCACUGCAAAAAAGUGUUGAAAGAACUGGCCCUUGUUCUUAAUCCCCUUCCCCAACAACUUAAAGAGACUUCAACCAACCCCACUCCAUCUAUCAUGGCUCGUUGACAUCAAGAGCUUCCCAACGUUCAGGUCAUGUGUCUCCUUCUGGGCUCUCUGUUCUUUGCAAUCAUCCCUAUAUUGAGGUGGUACACUCCAGUAGGUGAAUCAUUCUUUUACAACUGGAAUUAUGCUCAACAACCAGUGAAAGAGUCUUACACUAUAUAUGCUUUUAUCCAAAACCACGAGUAUAACUGCACUGAAUGAAGGAGAACCAGACUUCUUCCCUUUUCCUCACUAUAUGGAUGAUUCUGAGACAGAACGAUGGGGAAACGAUGAUUAAACGUCAAUAUUGUGUUUAUCGUGAGUAAAAUGCUUUCUGAAAUUAUUAUUUUGCCUAGUGUAGUGGAGACACUGGGAAUAUACUGUAUCUGGCGUUAGUUCAGGGGUUAUCACAAGUUCACACUGGCGUGUCGGCCAGAACACCACUUAAGGCCAAACUUCCAGAAGGUCCAAAUAAAGAGGGGAGUGAUGGAUGGUUCAGGUGGUUUAUUUUCUCCUUUGCAGACAAUGUGGUCAUGUGGUUUUCUACAGCAAAUAAAACACAAUACACCAAUGAAUAAAGGAUGAAUCCCUUAAUCUCCAAUAAACAGAAUAAAAGAAGUACUGAAAUUACCACAUCUCCAUUGACCUGUUAUCCCCACUAUCUCAGCCCCAAACAUACUUCACCUGACUUAUUAGCAUAUUAA